rnacentral:rRNA from 1 species
AGAGUUUGAUCCUGGCUCAGAUUGAACGCUGGCGGCAGGCCUAACACAUGCAAGUCGAGCGGCAGCGGGAAAGUAGCUUGCUACUUUUGCCGGCGAGCGGCGGACGGGUGAGUAAUGCCUGGGGAUCUGCCCAGUCGAGGGGGAUAACAGUUGGAAACGACUGCUAAUACCGCAUACGCCCUACGGGGGAAAGGAGGGGACCUUCGGGCCUUUCGCGAUUGGAUGAACCCAGGUGGGAUUAGCUAGUUGGUGGGGUAAUGGCUCACCAAGGCGACGAUCCCUAGCUGGUCUGAGAGGAUGAUCAGCCACACUGGAACUGAGACACGGUCCAGACUCCUACGGGAGGCAGCAGUAGGGAAUCUUCCGCAAUGGACGAAAGUCUGACGGAGCAACGCCGCGUGAGUGAUGAAGGUUUUCGGAUCGUAAAACUCUGUUGUUAGGGAAGAACAAGUACGAGAGUAACUGCUCGUACCUUGACGGUACCUAACCAGAAAGCCACGGCUAACUACGUGCCAGCAGCCGCGGUAAUACGUAGGUGGCAAGCGUUGUC